ensembl:misc_RNA 7SK 7SK RNA
AAAUGUGAGGGUGAUCUGGCAGUGACAUCUGUCAUCCUAUUGAUGGCAGGGUUGAUAGGGUUGAUCUGGCUGGCUAGGCAGGUGUCCCCUUCCUCCCUCACCGCCCUUGUGCAUUCCUUCCAAAGCUGCACACUCAGUCUAAGAGGACAACCAUCCUCGAUAGAGGAGGACCGUUCUUCAGUCAAGGGUAUAUGAGUAGCUACACUCUUCUUCUGAAACCUUCCCACAAGUUCUCAAGGUCCAAAUAUGGCAGCCAGGAAAGAGGCAAGUGGAGGAAGCUGGGAGUAUCCUGGGAGCAGUGGGUGGGGUUUCCUG